GCCGCCAUUAAAACAACAAUAGGCAUUUUCCCUUUUUUUGAAAAUCAAAAUUUUCUCUUCAUCUCUGCUUUCUCUCGCACCGCUCCCUCUCCUCCAAAUCUCCAUAGCCACUACCUAGCAUCGUUGCCGGAGCUUCGCUGUCGGACAUAAUCAAUUCCGAAAAGAUCGGCCUUUAUCUGGUCAGAAAACCCCAAAAUCAUCUCUUAUUCUAGUUGCUUCCAACCCCCAAAGCCGGAAGCUUUCUUGCCGCUUCCAACAUCUGAUAUCGCAAGAAAGGAAGAGAAAGUUCCAAGCUUCACCAAGAAGAGAGUUGGGAGGUCUGAAUGGGGGAGGGCAUUCUUUGUUGGUUUGAAUAGAGUUAUAUGUCGACUACAAGAACACUUGCAAAAGAUUGAUAAAGAUAGAGUUCAUCAAGAUGAGUUAAUUGUACACCACAAGGAGGAAAAAAGGUUGAGGAUUGCAUUGUUGUUAUAGUGGGUUGCAUUUGUAAUUAUUGUGAAUCUUAUGAUAUGGUGCAAUGGGGUUAGA